rnacentral:rRNA from 1 species
GGUUGCGAUCAUACCAGCACUAAAGCAUCGGAUCCCACCAGAACUCCGAAGUUAAGCGUGCUUGGGCGAGUGUAUUUCUAGGAUGGGUGACCUCCUGGGAAGACCUCGCGUUGCAUCCC